UACGUAGGGUGCGAGCGUUAAUCGGAAUUACUGGGCGUAAAGUGUGCGCAGGCGGCAGAGCAAGUCGAGUGUGAAAGCCCCGGGCUUAACUUGGGAAUUGCGCUCGAAACUACUUUGCUGGAGUGUGGCAGAGGAAGGUGGAAUUCCACGUGUAGCGGUGAAAUGCGUAGAGAUGUGGAGGAACACCAGUGGCGAAGGCGACUACCUGGCCUGUUCUUGACGCUGAGGCGCGAAAGCUAGGGGAGCAAACGGG
rnacentral:rRNA from 1 species